GGAAAUUGAAUCUAAUUAUUUGUUUCUCUUUAAAAGAGAACACGUAAGUGUGACUCAAUUAGUGUUUUCACUUACUCUGAACUAUGCCAUUCAUUUAGAGAUAAAGAGAGCAUGUGACUCAAUUUUUAUUAUUUCCCAUUAAUAGUUAUUAAUUUUAUCUAUUUAUUUUUCCUGGGUGACAUAGGAUUCAGUUGCUCAUAAAUCUGGGCAUCUAACUGUUAGUAUGUCUAUACUUGCAGUUUCUUUCACUCAUAUCAUCAAGAGUAGUUAGCCGGCUUUUAGUAUUUAUUUGUCACUUUGUGCCAAUCACGUCGUUGUUUAUUUUCAGUGUUUUAAUUCAGUCGGAUGCUCUCUUAUGCUUUCUUGACUCCUUGGCUUAAGCAUUGUUUUUGUCUUCUUACUCUUUUUUCCUUCGAGUGCAGGUGGUUCCGCGUGGUUUCUUCCAUGCAUUUUCAGAUGUGUUCGUCAUUCGCAUAUCGUCUGAGAUUAGCUGAUUGCAACCAAAGCCCAGUCAGUGAACUUGACUAUGGUUGAACUUUAGUACUCGAGAUCUAAAAGUAUACUUUUGUCCUAUUUUGCAAACGGAAAAGGGCCAACAAUACCCCUAACGUAUUGAAAAUGGCUCAAAAAUACCAUCGGUUAACCUUUUGGUCCGCAAAUACCCCUAACGUUUGUUUUUUGGGCUUAAACUUACCCUUAUAUCUAACCAAACUUAUCUGGUCAAUUUUUUGACUUUAACUUCGUCAUGUGACAUUUUCUUAAC
rnacentral:lncRNA from 1 species